UACAGAGGUCCCGAGCGUUGUUCGGAUUUAUUGGGCGUAAAGGGUGCGUAGGUGGCAAAGUAAGUUGGAUGUGAAAUCCUGGGGCUCAACCUCAGAAUUGCAUUCAAUACUGCUUAGCUAGAGAGCUGUAAAGGAGACUGGAAUUUACGGUGUAGCAGUGAAAUGCGUAGAUAUCGUAAGGAACGCCAGUGGCGAAAGCGAGUCUCUGGGCAGCAUCUGACACUGAGGCACGAAGGCCAGGGGAGCAAACGGG
rnacentral:rRNA from 1 species